UGGAAAUUCCGAUGACCUUGUUCGGGCAUCCAGCGCGGGAACUAGCAGCGGCGGCGGCGGAGGCGAUACCACACCGCCGUCACCACCACGGCUUCCGGUGGCACCACCGACGUCUCCCUCCCGCGUCCCUGGGGCGCCUUCCACAUCACCACCCCCGCUUCAACCGCCACUUGCCCCGCCGCGUGCCGCCGACAGGGAUACGGAUAUGGCGCGGUCGUGGUUAGUUAUUAGUUUCUUGGACGCAGGAUUGGGCGCGGUCGUGUGUUCUUCGAAUUGGUGCGAUUCUUGCAUGGGUUUGUUUGAUACUCGCGGACUCUGUUCUGUGUAAUUUCUGAAUUGGUUUGUAGAGGAGGGGGAAACGGUGGGAUCUUCUACUUUGUCCGAAUUUGUUUUCUGCUAGUACUUGGUGUAAUCGGAUGGCUUGGUAGCGAAUGUUCUUCCAUUUUCUGAGAUCGAGGACCAGAUAAUGGGGAUUUAAGGGAAGAGUAAAAUGACGAGGUGAAACUUUGUGCUCCUAUUCUGCUAUUUCUCAGUCCAAUUCCGUGUCUUGAUAACUCGGGUUCUUGGCCCCUUGUCCCAGUUGUAAUUGUUGAUUGUAUGUUUGUUUCCUUGCUGACACUAUUCAUUGGACUCCGAGUCAGUUGUUAUGGGUGCUACUGGUCUUGCUUUUUGUAAUAGCCCAUUCACUGAAUUUGUGCUGGAAAGUUUUCUGUACAAGGAUGCCCUCCAAUUAUUUAGGGUGCAGGUCCGAUGAUUAGAGUUUGGGCUAUAAGAGAAGCUCUUUACUUAGGCUUAAUUAAGUUUUACUCCAAGCAAAUUUCAUCUGUCUGGUGCUUUUACACCUUGUGAUCGAUGAUCCUUUACAUAUAUACUGAAACAUAGGUGCAUGUUUUUACUGUUUACUUGUUCACUGUAUUUGUACUGGAAAGUGUUUUUCUACAAGAAAUUUCCCCCC